UACGUAGGGAGCGAGCGUUGUCCGGAUUCAUUGGGCGUAAAGAGCUCGUAGGCGGCUUGAUAAGUCGGAUGUGAAACCUCCAGGCUCAACCUGGAGUCGCCAUCCGAUACUGUCAUGGCUAGAGUCCGGUGAGGGGCCCACGGAAUUCCUGGUGUAGCGGUGAAAUGCGCAGAUAUCAGGAGGAACACCGGUGGCGAAGGCGGUGGGCUGGGCCGGCACUGACGCUGGAGGAGCGGAAAGCGUGGGGAGCGAACAGG
rnacentral:rRNA from 1 species